CAGGGUGUAGCUCAGUUUGGUAGAGCGCGUGGUUUGGGUCCACGAGGCCGCAGGUUCAAAUCCUGUCACCCUGA
rnacentral:tRNA from 1 species